GACAGAGGGGGCAAGCGUUGCUCGGAAUCACUGGGCGUAAAGGGCGCGUAGGCGGGAUGGCAAGUCAGUCGUGAAAUCUCUCGGCUCAACCGAGAAACGUCGGCUGAUACUGCCGUUCUUGAGGGAUGCGGAGGAGACUGGAAUUCCUGGUGUAGCGGUGAAAUGCGCAGAUAUCAGGAGGAACACCAAUGGCGAAGGCAGCUCGCUGGAACGGUACUGACGCUGAGGCGCGAAAGCGUGGGGAGCGAACAGG
rnacentral:rRNA from 1 species